rnacentral:rRNA from 1 species
AACGAACGCUGGCGGCAUGCUUAACACAUGCAAGUUGAACGCAGGAUAGGACUUCGGUUCUAUUGCUGAGUAGCAAACGGGUGAGUAACGCGUGGGAAUCUACCUUUUUGUGGGGGAUAACUGAGGGAAACUUCAGCUAAUACCGCAUAAGCUCUACGGAGGAAAGGCUUCGGCCGCAAGAAGAGGAGACCGCGUCAGAUUAGGUAGUUGGUAGGGUAAAAGCCUACCAAGCCAAUGAUCUGUAGCUGGUCUGAGGGGAUGAUCAGCCACACUGGGACUGAGACACGGCCCAGACUCCUACGGGAGGCAGCAGUGGGGAAUAUUGGACAAUGGGGGAAACCCUGAUCCAGCAAUGCCGCGUGAAUGAAGAAGGCCUUAGGGUUGUAAAGUUCUUUCACCUGUGAAGAUUAUGACGGUAGCAGGAGAAGAAGCCCCGGCUAACUCCGUGCCAGCAGCCGCCGUAA